rnacentral:lncRNA from 1 species
UUCACCAGAUUUGCAUAUAAGUUUAAUAUAAACACUGACAAGGCCUAGAAACAGUGCAACAGUGACAGCUGAAUACCAGUGAACAGUUUUAGCAUCCAGAUUAAAUACUAUUUUCCACUAGGGUAACCCAUGGCUUCUUGGAUAAAUAAUAAAUGGCUUAUUUCAGGUCUGAAGGAGAUGGAAAACAUAAGCCUGGAAUUUUUUUUUUUUUUUUUUUUUUUUUUUUAAAGAGACAAGGUCCUACUGUGUUCCCCAGGCUUGAUUUGAAUUUAUAGGCUCAAGCAAUCCUCCUACCUCAGCCUCCUGAGUAGUGGGGAAUACAGUUGUGCACCACUGUACCUGGCUAGAGCCUGGAGCAUCUUACUUAAGAAAUCAAGGAUGCUGUGAAACACUCUUGGGAUCAUAUCAAACAGCAUAGUUGAAGGGGAGGACUUGGGCACUUUCAUGUAUAGGACAGCAUGUGUGGGAUGUCUGCAUUAGCUGGGCCUGGCCUGUGGAUGGCAUGGGGAAAAGCAGAGGCUGCUGAGAGUGGCUAACUACAGAGAUCAAAAAUUCCCAGCUUGGGCCUUGAUGAUGCAUUCACUUGUGGUGGGUGGGUGCAAUAAUAGUUGGUUGACAACACAUUUAAGCAGUGAGAGAGUAUAUGGGCUUCAGCACCUAGGAUGUAUACAAUGUAAAUGCAUGCAGCCUGUCUCUGGCCUAAUAGAUGGCUUUUGACUCUUCAAAUCCUGAUAGUCAAGUCUUAAUAAAAUAAAAUAAUAAAUGUA